UACGUAGGGGGCAAGCGUUGUCCGGAUUUAUUGGGCGUAAAGAGCGUGUAGGCGGUCAGGUAGGUCGGUUGUGAAAACUGGAGGCUCAACCUUCAGAGGUCGACCGAAACCCCCUGGCUAGAGUCCGGGAAAGGAGAGUGGAAUUCCUGGUGUAGCGGUGAAAUGCGCAGAUAUCAGGAAGAACACCCGUGGCGAAAGCGGCUCUCUGGAACGGUACUGACGCUGAGACGCGAAAGCGUGGGGAGCGAACAGG
rnacentral:rRNA from 1 species